AUUGAACGCUGGCGGCAGGCCUAACACAUGCAAGUCGAGCGGCAGCGGGAAGUAGCUUGCUACUUUGCCGGCGAGCGGCGGACGGGUGAGUAAUGUCUGGGAAACUGCCCGAUGGAGGGGGACAACUACUGGAAACGGUAGCUAAUACCGCAUAACGUCGCAAGACCAAAGAGGGGGACCUUCGGGCCUCUUGCCAUCGGAUGUGCCCAGAUGGGAUUAGCUAGUAGGUGGGGUAACGGCUCACCUAGGCGACGAUCCCUAGCUGGUCUGAGAGGAUGACCAGCCACACUGGAACUGAGGCACGGUCCAGACUCCUACGGGAGGCAGCAGUGGGGAAUAUUGCACAAUGGGCGCAAGCCUGAUGCAGCCAUGCCGCGUGUAUGAAGAAGGCCUUCGGGUUGUAAAGUACUUUCAGCGGGGAGGAAGGUGUUGAGGUUAAUAACCUCAGCAAUUGACGUUACCCGCAGAAGAAGCACCGGCUAACUCCGUGCCAGCCGCCGCCGUAA
rnacentral:rRNA from 1 species